CGAGGCGCGCAGUAAAGUCACGCUACCUUCAACAUGGCGUUUAGGUACAUUUACUUAAUUUUAGACAGAAAGUAAGACGAUGCCGAGCCCGAAAGCACAGGGGCGCCUUCGCUCUAAGCAGCCUCAUCUCUUGGAACAGGUUCAAUAAAUAGCUUAAUAAGGGCUAAUGAUCGGCGAUCAGGAAGCAGUAAGGGCGAAGAUCGGGGUCAGAGACACGUGGAUGGCGUCAGACCGGGGGUCUGCUCGGCAGCAGCCUGGAAGGCACACCGGACGGGCCGCCUGCCGCAGCCCUGGAGCCGGCCCGAAUGAGGACGGGACGAGCUCAGGUGUCCUGGUCAUCCAGCUCCAGACUCUGCUGGCUCGCCGCAGACUCGCUGUCCUCCGCCAUCAUGGACAGAUAUGCUGAAAAAAAAUUAGUAAUACUGGAGGACGGUGGGGGAAUUAAAAACACAAAGAGAAUAAGGAGCGAAACCGCGCCGCCUAGCGGCCGUCCUCCUGGAUGCGAAUGCGCGCGGGGGGGGGAUAACGCGCAGGGCACCGGGGCUUCUAAUCACCACAACCGUUGUUCUGUAAUUAUUCCAUAAUUAGUAUCAUUGAAAAACCGGACGCAAAACAUCCCAAUUCGGCUUGAGAUCUUUUAAUUUUUCUGUCUGUGUUUAUUAAACGAUGCAAUGAGGGGCUGUGCAGUUCGGGGGGGUUGAUGCCCCCGAACUGGAUGGCAGAUCUCUGGACCCCUACGAAAGUACAUUAACACCUUUUUUAAAGAUUAAUUUUCAAAGACGAUUUGUAUUUAGUGACGAACGGAUUUUUAAACUACGAUGACGGCGGACGGCCUACCGGCACCAUCGUUGGACCCUCAUACUGCACGUGCGCUCCAUCAACCAAAACGCUGCUAUAUUCCUAUUAAAAAAUGUCACACUGCCUUGGGCCUGCUAUUUGAGGAUUGUGCUCUGUAUUAGGGUUACUCAGACUGGAACCAUCAGAGAAGAUGGUAAAGUAAAUGGUGCACAAGGCGGGUUUUAGCAGCGCUCCAUUUACCCAGCAGGGAGGAUUCACCUGUAGUGUCCGGACCGGAGAGGUUCCAGCCUCUCUUCCUCCGCCUUCCCCAUUACAGGCAGCAGACCUGCCCCCAUUCCCAGAGCAGGGGAAAGAAGCCCAGAAAUAGGAAGUACCCAUCACCCGGGAGGACGUGGAUACUGGACAUCACUGGGAUCCUUACUGGGAUCCUUACUGGGAUCUCCUAGGUGUCCCGGUCACGCAACAGCAGUUACAUUUGUCACAUGAAAAGUAGACUUCAAAAUCUACAUUUAAAUACACUACAUGUAAACUAUGAAAUUUUCCUUGUUCUAAUUCACCUUGAAAUAAAAUGUGAUAAUUACCACAGAA